AUCCCAGAGUGGCUCCACUGUCCUGCUUUGCUUUCCCUGUCUGGUCAUGGUUAAGGAUUUUUGCUUCCUGAAUCUGUUUCUUUCUUUCUGUGUGGAUAUCUGGUAAUCUCCGCAUCCUUGUGGUCAUUCUCACCCCUGUUUGCCCUUUGGCUGUGUUUAAUUCUGUGGCCAUUCCUCCAUAGACUUUAUUGUGCCUCUCACAGCAUCAGCACCAGCAGCGGGACUUCCUCCAGCCGAUUCUUAGGUGCCUGACAAGAUCGCCUGGGCCAAGAAGCUGAACGAGAACCUGACCGCAGAUUUUGCUGACGAUGGCACUGACUGGACAAGCCAUGCGACUUUUCGGGAGCUCCAUACUUCCGCUUUCUCUGGAAUGGAGUAAAACAUACAUGUACAUGGGUUGCUCACUCUUACAGAGAUAAAAAGUUUCGUAUCGGCCUUGAGACACGGCACUUUGGAUAAUGACAACCUUCCUCCA